UUUAUGGCUGUAUCUAUGGUAUCUCAUUUUUGCAUUCCACCAAAAUAAAGCACUCCACUUCUGAAAUAAAAUGGUCUCUUUACUUUUUUCUAAUAAUCUUAGCCUAUUAAGUCUAUAUGGACGAUAUUUUAUUUACCAGAUCAGACUCUGUUACUCGUGGCAAUAAAACUUUUGAAUAGUACUUUGAGUAACAGUUAAUAUUUUAAAGGAGACAAUGGCUCCCACAGUAAUCUUUGAUGAUGAAAACAUUAAUCCUGUACCAGAAGAAUGUCUCACUUCUGAAGUUUAUAAAAUAAGAAGCUGCCCCCAUAGCGUUUGUUAGACAAUUUAAACCAUAGCAAUGUCUACGUUGUGGAAUUUGUAAAAUAAGGUAUUUCAAAUGCUUUAUUCGAUUUUUAAUUAUAUUGUUUGUUUCAAUAGAACAUAAUGACAAUAUAAACAAAGGAAUAGUUGAACCUACAAUAUCACAGUUUGCUGAAGUCCGUCAGUUUUCACAAUUCUUGAUUAUAUUUUUAUACUACUAAAGUAUUAUAGUCUACUAAAGUAAUUAGUAUAUUUUUUAUUAAUUUAAUUACAUAUUAUACAGACUGUAAGGGACAUGCUGGCAAAAACUGAAACUGUGAAAUCAGAUCAUUAUUCCGAACUGAAAACCAAUGGAAAUUCUUAUGUAAUCUAUGAUAUUUUAUCAUAAUAUAAAGAAAUAAUAAUAUUUUUAGUGAAAUACCAAAAAAAAAGCAAUGUAUUAUUCGUAUUAAAAUUCUACACCG
rnacentral:lncRNA from 1 species